GACGAACGCUGGCGGCGUGCUUAACACAUGCAAGUCGAACGGAAAGGCCCUGCUUUUGUGGGGUGCUCGAGUGGCGAACGGGUGAGUAACACGUGAGUAACCUGCCCUUGACUUUGGGAUAACUUCAGGAAACUGGGGCUAAUACCGGAUAGGAGCUCCUGCUGCAUGGUGGGGGUUGGAAAGUUUCGGCGGUUGGGGAUGGACUCGCGGCUUAUCAGCUUGUUGGUGGGGUAGUGGCUUACCAAGGCUUUGACGGGUAGCCGGCCUGAGAGGGUGACCGGCCACAUUGGGACUGAUAUACCGCCCAGACUCCUACGGGAGGCAGCAGUGGGGAAUAUUGCACCAUGGGCGGAAGCCUGAUGCAGCAACGCCGCGUGCGGGAUGACAGCCCUCGGGUUGUAAACCGCUUUCGCCUGUGACGAAGCGUGAGUGACGGUAAUGGGUAAAGAAGCACCGGCUAACUACGUGCCAUCAGCCGCGGUGAUACUUAGGGUGCGAGCGUUGUCCGGAAUUAUUGGGCGUAAACGGCUCAUAGGUGGUUGAUCGCGUCGGAAGGUAAUCUUGGGGCUUAACCCUGAGCGUGCUUUCGAUACGGGUUGACUUGAGGAAGGUAGGGGAGAAUGGAAUUCCUGGUGGAGCGGUGGAAUGCGCAGAUAUCAGGAGGAACACCAGUGGCGAAGGCGGUUCUCUGGGCCUUUCCUGACGCUGAGGAGCGAAAGCGUGGGGAGCGAACAGGCUUAGAUACCCUGGUAGUCCACGCUGUAAACGGUGGGUACUAGGUGUGGGGUCCAUUCCACGGGUUCCGUGCCGUAGCUAACGCUUUAAGUACCCCGCCUGGGGAGUACGGCCGCAAGGCUAAAACUCAAAGGAAUUGACGGGGCCCCGCACAAGCGGCGGAGCAUGCGGAUUAAUUCGAUGCAACGCGUAGAACCUUACCUGGGUUUGACAUGGAUCGGGAGCGCUCAGAGAUGGGUGUGCCUCUUUUGGGGUCGGUUCACAGGUGGUGCAUGGCUGUCGUCAGCUCGUGUCGUGAGAUGUUGGGUUAAGUCCCGCAACGAGCGCAACCCUUGUUCACUGUUGCCAGCACGUUAUGGUGGGGACUCAGUGGAGACCGCCGGGGUCAACUCGGAGGAAGGUGGGGAUGACGUCAAGUCAUCAUGCCCCUUAUGUCCAGGGCUUCACGCAUGCUACAAUGGCUGGUACAGAGAGUGGCGAGCCUGUGAGGGUGAGCGAAUCUCGGAAAGCCGGUCUCAGUUCGGAUUGGGGUCUGCAACUCGACCUCAUGAAGUCGGAGUCGCUAGUAAUCGCAGAUCAGCAACGCUGCGGUGAAUACGUUCCCGGG
rnacentral:rRNA from 1 species